rnacentral:misc_RNA from 1 species
CCAUAGGUUUGCGCUACACUGUCANGUAUCCGCCCUUCGGACUGUGCUUCNACUGGGAGCGCCGGACGACCGGCGACUGGUCCUCUGGUCCUGUAUGGGCGAGCUCCUCGUAGGCAUUGANGUUCGGCGAGAUGGGCCCGUAGCUCAGUUGGUUAGAGCACACGCAUAAUAAGGCGUGGG